UUUGUAGAACGGGCCAACGAGUUACGUUAAGUAGCAAGGUUAAGCACUUAAGGUGCGGAGCCGUAGCGAAAGCGAGUUUUAACUGAGCGUUCAGUUACUUGACGUAGACCCGAAACCGGGCGACCUACCCAUGAGCAGGAUGAAGCGAAAGUAAAAUUUCGUGGAGGUCCGAACCCACGAGCGUUGAAAAGCUCGGGGAUGACUUGUGGGUAGCGGUGAAAUUCCAAUCGAGCCCGGAGAUAGCUGGUUCUCCCCGAAAUAGCUUUAGGGCUAGCCUCAAGGUGAGAGAUACGGAGGUAGAGCACUGAAUGUCCUAGGGGGUAUUGCACCUACCGAAGACUAUCAAACUCCGAAUGCCGUCAUCUUAUACUUGGGAGUCAGACUGUGGGUGAUAAGAUUCAUAGUCGAAAGGGCAACAGCCCAGAUCGUCAGCUAAGGUCCCUAAAUGUAAGUUAAGUGGUAAAGGAUGUGGGAUUGCACAGACAACCAGGAUGUUGGCUUAGAAGCAGCCACUCAUUCAAAGAGUGCGUAAUAGCUCACUGGUCGAGUGAUCCUGCGCCGAAGAUUUCCGGGGCUAAAACUUACUACCGAAGCUACGGCAUCAGUAAUGAUGGGUAGGGGAGCUUCCCAUACGGGUUGAAGCAUGACCGUAAGGACAUGUGGACAGUAUGGGAGUGAGAAUGUUGGCAUGAGUAGCGAGAUGUGGGUGAGAAUCCCACAGGCCGUAAACCCAAGGUUUCCAGGGGAAGGUUCGUCCGCCCUGGGUUAGUCGGGACCUAAGCUGAGGCCGAAAGGCGUAGGUGAUGGACAACAGGUUGAUAUUCCUGUACUACCGAUAACCGUUUGAGAGAAGGGAUGACACAGUAGGAUAAGCUAAGCACACUGUUGGUUAUGUGUGCCCAAGCAUUGAGGCAGUCAAAGUAGGCAAAUCCGCUUUGAUAAUGCUGGGAUGUGAUGGGGAGCGAAAUUUAGUAGCGAAGUAGCUGAUUUCACACUGUCAAGAAAAGUCUCUAUCGAGGUUAAAGGUACCCGUACCGCAAACCGACACAGGUGGGUGAGGAGAGUAUCCUAAGGCCAGCGAGAGAACUGUUGUUAAGGAACUCGGCAAAAUGACCCCGUAACUUAGGGAUAAGGGGUGCCACCAUCAGGUGGCCGCAGAGAAUAGGCCCAAGCGACUGUUUACCAAAAACAUAGGUUUCUGCUAAGUCGCAAGACGAUGUAUAGGAGCUGACGCCUGCCCGGUGCUGGAAGGUUAAGGGGAUCUGUUAGAGCAAUCGAAGCAGUGAACUUAAGCCCCAGUAAACGGCGGCCGUAACUAUAACGGUCCUAAGGUAGCGAAAUUCCUUGUCGGGUAAGUUCCGACCCGCACGAAAGGCGUAACGAUUUGGGCACUGUCUCAACAACAGACUCGGUGAAAUUGUAAUUCCGGUGAAGAUGCCGGAUACCUGCGACAGGACGGAAAGACCCCAUGGAGCUUUACUGUAGCUUGACAUUGGGUCUUGGUACUACAUGUACAGGAUAGGUGGGAGGCUUUGAAACCAGGACGCCAGUUUUGGCGGAGCCAUCCUUGGGAUACCACCCUUGUAGUACUGGGACUCUAACCAUAGGCCAUGAAUCUGGUCUUGGGACACUGUCAGGUGGGCAGUUUGACUGGGGCGGUCGCCUCCCAAAAGGUAACGGAGGCGCUCAAAGGUUCUCUCAGUACGGUCGGAAAUCGUACGUAGAGUGUAAAGGCAAAAGAGAGCUUGAUUGCAAGACAUACAGGUCGAGCAAGGAUGAAAAUCGGACUUAGUGAUCCGGUGGUUCUGCGUGGAAGGGCCAUCGCUCAACGGAUAAAAGCUACCCUGGGGAUAACAGGCUUAUCUCCCCCAAGAGUCCACAUCGACGGGGAGGUUUGGCACCUCGAUGUCGGCUCAUCACAUCCUGGGGCUGUAGUAGGUCCCAAGGGUUGGGCUGUUCGCCCAUUAAAGUGGUACGCGAGCUGGGUUCAGAACGUCGUGAGACAGUUCGGUCCCUAUCCGUCGCAGGCGUAGGAAAUU
rnacentral:rRNA from 1 species